rnacentral:lncRNA from 10 species
AGGGGAGCCUGUGCAGUGCCAGAGGGCCUGAAGCCAGUGGGCAGAGAGAGGGCUGCUGCAGUCGGUGGGGAGGAAGUCACCCCUUCUCCAGCUCCAUGAUGCUGCCUCACGCAAUGAGCUUUGGGAUGGACAGCCUGUGAACCAGACUCUCCCUCUCUCCAGGAAAUUUGACUAUACUUUCUGCUCCACCACCUAAACUUGAGAGUUUUAUUGAGGUCCUGUUCUUUUCGGUGACAUCCCACCUCUUCAGCAACACCUUCCCGCCCUUCCAGUUUGAGUGCUCGGUAGCUGCACAUCCUGUGAACAGGUUGCACACACAGGAAUCUCAACAUUAUGAAUAACUGCAAGCAGGAUGACACCGGGAUCCUCUUCUCUCCCUCCCAAUGCCUGCAGUGGAUAUCUGGACUACAUAUGCAGUGGGAGAGCUGGAAGAGCCUGUUACAAACCUCAGCCCAUUAGCAUCUCCCAGCUCUGUCUUUUGAGAAGAUGACUGAGAGGAAGGUGGUAUUGAGAAAACAAAGCAUCCAGCCUUUGUGAAGCUGAGCCUUAAGGUCCCCUCUCCAGCCCUGGCUGACCCCAGACCCUCGUUUUCUUCUCUGGCAUCCAACUUCAAGGAUUGGCCUGUUUCCCUUUAACUAUAGCUACCACUCAGCUCACUCGCUGAAGAAGGCAGAGCCCACGCCUCCUGGCACAGUUUCCCUUCGGCUACCUAAGGCAAGCGAAUGAGUCUUUUUCAUCGUAAUGAGCUGUAUUUCCCUCACUAUGGAACAACAGGGGCUAAACAAAUUAAUAAAUAUGCUCAGC